UCAAGGUGGUGGUACCUAGAUCCAGAUUGAGA
rnacentral:piRNA from 1 species